CAUGCCAUUCCUCAUCGCACAAAGCUUGUUUAUGCAAGAGAUUUCUCCAACAAAUACUCCACUUUGUCCCCCACUUGGAUAGGGUUGUGAUUGGUUUUGAUAUAAAUUUAAAAGGAGUUUUGAAUUUGAUUAAAACAUCAUCCUAAUCCUUCCGCCCGUCGGCCACUUUUGAUGAGUUCUUUUUGUGUGACACAAAGGAGAAGCUCCUGGUGGUUGUUCAUGCCCACUUGGAUAAGG
rnacentral:lncRNA from 1 species